UACGUAGGGGGCAAGCGUUGUCCGGAAUCAUUGGGCGUAAAGAGCGUGUAGGCGGCCAGAUAAGUCCGCUGUGAAAUCUCGAGGCUCAACUUCGAGCUGUCGGUGGAAACUGUCUGGCUAGAGUCCGGAAGAGGAGAAUGGAAUUCCUGGUGUAGCGGUGAAAUGCGCAGAUAUCAGGAAGAACACCCCGUGGCGAAGGCGGUUCUCUGGGCAUGUUCUGACGCUGAGGAGCGAAAGUGUGGGGAGCGAACAGG
rnacentral:rRNA from 1 species